AUCCAGCUGACGAGUCCUAAAUAGGACGAAAUGCGUCCUGGAU
rnacentral:hammerhead_ribozyme from 1 species